CUCGGGGCCCUUCAGUGUGGGUGAACAAAACCCCAGAGCCCCCGCCAGCUUCUGUGCAGGGCUCAGACCCACAGCUGCUCACGAGGCGCUGAGCCUCGGGCGCAUAACGGAAUGUUCCCCCUUGAAGGUGUCAUUGGCGCGGAAGAAGAUGAACCUCAUUGAAGAGCGUGUCUCCAGCUCAGCAGCACCUGGGAUUUGUGCAGCCCGGGCCAGGGCGGAAGGGCGUUGAGGGGUUUCCCGGCCUGAGUUUGGAUUUGGGGACCCGAGGAACCCUGGAAGGCGAGGAGGUUCCGUGUCGGUGUCAGUCCUGGGACCUCCCUGUGCAGAGAGGCUCACUGUUCCCACGCGCCCUCCGUCAGCAGGGCAAGGAGAGGACUGUGCAUCCUCAGUGACCGUGGUGCCUAACCCUGCUUUAGAGAAGUCUGUCCUUGCCCCCAAGCUGCUUUCCACGGAGUUCUGUUUGCACACGAGGUCGCUGUGA
rnacentral:lncRNA from 1 species